AAGAGAUUAAGUAAGACUAUAUUGACUAGAAGGGGGUGUCUGAAAAGGUACAGGAUAGGUAAAGGGGUACUUGCUGGACAUGUGUACCCAGGUCAGGUAAGAGUAGCUGUGCACUGGUGUCUAGGCUAGGUGAAGGUGUGUCUAAUUGACAGGUCUAUUUAAACUGUACCUAAUGGGUACAUGUUUCCAGGAUAAGUGAGAAUGGCCCUGUGGUCAGGGCUUCUGGGUAAGGUGAGUGUGUAAUUGUGGACAGAUGUAUCUGCCAGGUGAAGGUGAAGGCCCUACCUGUCACCUUCACAUCUGGUGGAUAGCUGUAUCUAUGUUAGUGAGCAUAUACCUGUGGGCAGGUGUGUCCCGGCCAGGUGACGGUGUACCUCUGAUGGGUUAUUGGUGCCAGGCUGGAGCCACAGACUGGACACACCCACUUGCUAGUGCCUCACCUUGAAGCGGCGGUCGUACUUGGUGACCGAGUCAGCGAAGUCCACACGCUCCCUCUUGCCCAGGAACUGACGCAGCUCUGGCCGCUCCUCCAGCCCUAAGUAGUCUCCCACGAAGUUCCGAUUGAUGCUGUUUCGUCUCCGCUCCUUCUUGUUCAGCAGGAUGUUGGAAGCUGUGGGGACACAGGGUGUGGGGGCAGAGGUCAUGGCUUGGCUCUUCCAGGACCAUUUGUUUGCACCCUCUGCCUCCCACCGGCAGCCUCUUACCUUCCUCUCGCAUCUCCUCAUACUUCCGGAUUGCCACAUGGCGCCGCCAGGCCUUCUGGAUGGUGCGGGCGAAGCCAUCAAACUUGCGCUCUCUCAUCUCUUCUAGAAGGAAGAGCUGGGCGGGAUGGAGGGGUGGUGGGUCCUAGUGUCUCUCCAGGGCCACCGUCUCCAGUUUCUCUUGAGCCCACCCCACCCACAUGCUCCUGCGCUCACACUGUGGUCAACAUUUUUUUCCUCCAAAUGAUGGGACCCAGCGUUCCCUCCCGAUGUGUGGCACAAGCCUCUGCAUUAAAUUAUAACUGGCCUGCCUGCCUGGUGGGGCUCAAAUCCCAGCUCUGCCUAUUAUAGCCGUGUGGUUUUGCCAGGAAUGGUAUAAUAUCAUGUUAUCCCACACUGCUAAUUAAGCUCCGUUAUGCCUUUCAUGUAAGGUACACACCAACUUCAGACAUGUUAGAAAUGUGAAUCAAUGUGCAUUUUAGAAAAAAACAAGAUAAUGUAAACAUGAACAUCUAAUGACAGGCAACUAUGUGGUUUUGUCGUGAACAACCUGCACAGCCAUACAUGAUGGUCUGAGAUAGAAAUCUUUUGCAGACUUUUGAGGUGUUUUUUUUUUUUUUUUUUUUUUUUUAAUUGAUUUUUAGAGAGAGAAGAAGGGACAGAGAGAGAGAGAGGAAUGAGAAAAACAUUGAUUAGUUGCCUCCCAUAUGCACCCCGGCCCCCAACCAACUGAACCACCUGGUCAGGGUCAGACUUUUGAAUUUUAAGGGUUUUGGUCCAGAGAGUGCUUAGAAAUUAAACUAUAUUUGACCAAAGCAUAGUGGAAAUGCCAUGAAAGAUACCUUUAAAAAAAAUAAUAACAGGUAAGCAUAUCAAGGAGAGGAACCCCCGGAUAUGAAGAGUUAUGAAUCUAGUAAUAAGAACAGCGGGGUGCUAGUCAAGGACUAGAACAAUCAGUUGGAAUAGGACAGGUGGUUGGGAAACAUCCUAGUUCAAA